rnacentral:rRNA from 1 species
CGUGGGUAACCUGCCCAUAAGACUGGGAUAACUCCGGGAAACCGGGGCUAAUACCGGAUAAUAUUUUGAACUGCAUGGUUCGAAAUUGAAAGGCGGCUUCGGCUGUCACUUAUGGAUGGACCCGCGUCGCAUUAGCUAGUUGGUGAGGUAACGGCUCACCAAGGCAACGAUGCGUAGCCGACCUGAGAGGGUGAUCGGCCACACUGGGACUGAGACACGGCCCAGACUCCUACGGGAGGCAGCAGUAGGGAAUCUUCCGCAAUGGACGAAAGUCUGACGGAGCAACGCCGCGUGAGUGAUGAAGGCUUUCGGGUCGUAAAACUCUGUUGUUAGGGAAGAACAAGUGCUAGUUGAAUAAGCUGGCACCUUGACGGUACCUAACCAGAAAGCCACGGCUAACUACGUGCCAGCAGCCGCGGUAAUACGUAGGUGGCAAGCGUUAUCCGGAAUUAUUGGGCGUAAAGCGCGCGCAGGUGGUUUCUUAAGUCUGAUGUGAAAGCCCACGGCUCAACCGUGGAGGGUCAUUGGAAACUGGGAGAC